rnacentral:lncRNA from 1 species
CACCAUUUUUAAUCCACUUAAAAGUGUUAUUUCCUCAUGACAUCGGCUUCUGUGAAGUUUAGAAAUACAUGAGAAAAAGAGAGUUGGGAAAUAGACAUAGAAAUUAUUCAAAUAAUGAAAAAUAAAUCUUUAAACAAUGACAAUGGAAUUUGGGUUGUUUCUGAUUUUUGUGGUUUGUCUUGUUUUCUGCCUGAAGAAGACAAGGUUGCAGGAAAAUGAAACCACGAUUUUGAAAUAAAGGAAGAACUCUGGUGGAGUUAGUGGGAGCAGCUGUUCUCCAGUCUCAAACCGUAUCUGGACUGUUAGGUUCAGUUCUAGGUACCUCAUGUUAAGAGAGACCUUGAUGAAGUGGAGUGUGUCAGAUAGGGAUGAGCGUGUUCAGAUGUACCUAGAUACGACCACAUAGCUGCAGCUGCCAGCCUACGCUACAGCCACAGCAAAACCAUAUCUGAGCUGCAUCUGCGAUCUACACCACAGCUCAGAGCAACGCCGGAUCCUUAACCCACUGAGUGAAGCCAGGGAUCAAACCCACAUCCUCAUGGAUCCUAGUUGGGUUUGUUACCACUGAGCCACUAGGGAACUCCAGAAAUUUGCUUUUAAGCUUUGAAAAGUUUCCCUUUUCAUAAUUGCUUACUUAGCACAACUCACUAGGAGGAAAUAGAGGAGGGGAGAAACCCCCCCAACAAACCUCUGAAAACAAGUAGAUAACUUUUCAGACAAACAUUAACAGAGAACAUGAGAACUAGACCUAUUCUUCGUUAAAAUUUUAACAUCCCAUGUGACCUUGAGCAAAUUAAUUUAUUUAGGUUCUCUGUGCCUCAGCUCCUUCAUCAGUAAAAUGGAUAUAAUAACUCUUACCUCAUGGCUCUAUGGGAAUUAGUGAGUUAAUGCGUGCUCAGUUCUUUGAGGUCCUUGGAUGAAAGCUGUCAUAUAAAUAUGAGGUAUCAUUAUUAACAUUUAAUGACCAUAUCUAUACUUAUGAUACCAAGUGUCCUAAGAAACAAAAGCUGUUACAGGCCACAGAAAAACUUUCAAAGACUGUUCACAAGUGUCUAUGAGACAUAAGCUAGAAUUAUCGAGAGAGCUUUGUGUCUUAUUGUCAACUUAAAAGUUGCAGUCCCGUGGAGUCAACCUGAUACUUAGCUAUGGAUUUAGGGGAUGCUUUUAAAAGCAUUUUUGCUAUCUUUCAAACCAGUUUUCAUGACUACUUUUAAACUAGUGAUAAUUUGGGAAUCUUCAAAUUAUUUUGCUUUUCUUUUCUAACUGUAGCCUCAGUGGAACCUCUCAAUACUUAUACAUGCUAAAUGUGGUAAUUUUUAAUCUUUUUUUUCUCAUGAACAUAGCAGUAGCUUUCAUCUUUAAUGUAGGAAGAACACAAAAGAAUGGCUGUCAGCCAUGGUGCAGAUAUAGAAAGUCUUGCUUCAUCCUCUCUCCUGGCUCAUGGCUAUACCAUCCUGUUUUGAGUCUUCUCUCUCCACUCCUUGUAGUUAUCAGAAAUGGCAGGAGUUGGUGGGGAGUGGGAAAGGGGGAGCCCCCCUUCUUUAAUCUUAAAUGACAAACUUAAAAGACAAACAUUUAGGAGUUGUCCUGUGGCACAGCAGGUUAAGGAUCUGGCAUUGUGACUGCAACAGCUUGGGUUGCUGCUGUGGC